UACGUAGGGUGCAAGCGUUAAUCGGAAUUACUGGGCGUAAAGCGCGUGUAGGCGGCUCGGUAAGUCUGCUCUGAAAGUCCAAGGCUCAACCUUGGGAUGCGGGUGGAUACUGCCGGGCUCGAGUCCGGAAGAGGCGAGUGGAAUUCCUGGUGUAGCGGUGAAAUGCGCAGAUAUCAGGAGGAACACCAAUGGCGAAGGCAGCUCGCUGGGACGUGACUGACGCUGAGACGCGAAAGCGUGGGGAGCAAACAGG
rnacentral:rRNA from 1 species